CCUACGGGUGGCAGCAGUCGAGAAUCAUUCACAAUGGGGGAAACCCUGAUGGUGCGACACCGCGUGGGGGAAUGAAGGUCUUCGGAUUGUAAACCCCUGUCAUGUGGGAGCAAAUUAAAAAGAUCGUACCACAAGAGGAAGAGACGGCUAACUCUGUGCCAGCAGCCGCGGUAAUACAGAGGUCUCAAGCGUUGUUCGGAAUCACUGGGCGUAAAGCGUGCGUAGGCUGUUUCGUAAGUCGUGUGUGAAAGGCGCGGGCUCAACCCGCGGACGGCACAUGAUACUGCGAGACUAGAGUAAGGGAGGGGGAACCGGAAUUCGCGGUGUAGCAGUGAAAUGCGUAGAUAUCGAGAGGAACACUCGUGGCGAAGGCGGGUUCCUGGACAUUAACUGACGCUGAGGCACGAAGGCCAGGGGAGCGAAAGGGAUUAGAUACCCCAGUAGUC
rnacentral:rRNA from 1 species